rnacentral:lncRNA from 1 species
GCGCGCCGCAGUGUGAAAGGGGAGAGAACCAGCAUCUCAGUAACUGCGGGGCGACGUGGGACCAAGAGCAGUUCCCAGGAGGUAUCUGUCUCCUGCCUGCCUCUGGCUUUCUGCAGACCCCACCCAGGGGCAAGCCAGGCAUUGCCCUCUCCCUUCCUCUCCUUGCACCUCUCUCCUUCCCAGCCCGCCCUGCCUCCCUCCGCCCCAUCUUGCCCACCCAAAACCCAGACUGGACACCCAGAGCUGCUCCAGCGGUCUGAGCUCCGGCCUCCCCAGCAGUCCGGGGAAAGCAGGAGAGGCCGGUCCAGGGCCACGGGCGGAGCGGUGCCCGCCGGGGCGUGUCGGGCUCGGCCAAUGAGAGCUCGGAGGUCGCGGGCGGGGGCGGGUGUCAGGUUGGCCUCGGGGCGGGAACUACCCUGAGGGUAGCUGUCCCAGGGCACCCUGAGUGGGCCGGUGUCCCAGGGCACCCUGAGUGGGCUGGGCCUGAGCCCAGCCCUGGAAGGGCAGGAAGGCCGGAGCUCACCCCACGAGGGCUCACCUCGCCAGGACGGAGCUCAGGCCGAUCCCUGGGAAGGCAGGGUCUUCCAGCAACACCUGCCCAGCAUGCGGAAAGUCGGGGCCCCGGGGCCAGGGCCAGGCCCCAGCGGAAUGGGCGCCCUGGGCCGCUCGGGGGUCGUGCUGCUCACGUACGUGCUGGCGGCCCUGGAGCUCACCUGCCUCUUCAUGCAGUUCUCCAUCAUGCCCCUGCCCAGAUGGUCAUCGCAGACCUGUCCACACCUGAGGAGCGGCCCGCGCCCCAGGCCGGCUGGGCCUGUGCUUUGGCGUUGGUCUCAUCUUGGCUCCUGCUCGGUGGAACCCUGAGCAGCUCGUGCGGUGAGUGUCCGGGCGCUGGCCCGCCGGGCUGGGGCUGGCCAGCCAGGCGGGUGUGGGUACCAGGUCGGACGAGCAAGGACGAGACGGCUCUGUACCACCCAGGCCCUCAGCCGGCCCGCCGCCUCUCGGGGCCUUGGUUUCCCAUGGGCGCCUGACCUGGUGAGUCCACAGGAGGGGAACCAGCUGGAACCUCCGGGUGGGCGGGCAUCCAGGGGCGUGGCCUAUGCGGUGGGCGGGUCUGAAGGCUUAGACAAGCGAGUGCCGACACCACGUGGAUUCCUCAAACGUCAGGCGGGAGGACCUCCAGGGAGGCAAAGGCCCUCACAUGUGGACGCGAGAAGGCCUGUGAGGCUGGAGGACUGAGGAGGUGGGCAGCGCCAGGCCGUGGAGCCCUGAAGCAGGGGCCCGGGUGACCUGGCUGCUGUGUUGAGACUGUGCGGGCUGGGACCACAACAGGGAAACCAGAGGUGGGGACUGAACUGCUCCAUGUGGGAGAGCACCGCGGCUGGACCAGGGCGGCCGUGGCGCGAGAGGGCAGCGGCGGAUCUGGGUUGGUUUUGCUGGUGGCUGGGGUGUAAGUGUGAAUGCAAGGCCGUGCCUGGGCUUGGGCUGGGCCUGGGGAGCCAUGGGCCUCGCUGAGGUCCCUGCUACCCUGGCUACCCAUGGGAGUUGGGUCCCCACCAGGUAAGUCUGGUGCCUGGUAGAUGCAUGAAGGAGUUCCCGAGUGGACUGAUGGGGGUCUGAGCGGGAGGAGAAUGGGGCUGUGCUCUCAAGUGGGGGUUUCUAAGCCCUGGGAACUGCUCCAGAGGAGGGCUGGGGCCCAGCACUCGUGUUAGAAGCCAGGAAUUAAGAAAAGCCACCUGGAGGACCCAAGAGAUGGGAUUCAGGGGGUAUCCAGGCCUGAGGGUCAAGGACAGGACCCACUGCCCACGACUGCGGACUCCCCUGGACCGGGCCGCCUCCUCCCGCUCAGCGUGGGUGGGAGCCUGUCUGCAGAUGGGCCCCGGAUGAGACAGAGGGCCUCUGUGUGCCCAGGAGAGACGAGAAGGGUCAGGGGCUGCGAGUGAGAAGGAGCACCUGGGGAGUGAGGACAGAUGGAGCAGGGGCAGCCCCACCUGCUGACCCUGCGGGUCAGGAUCAGAACCAGGACCGAGCUUCACCGGCCAGCCCGCCACCUGCCCCUGGGCCCUGGGCAGGUUUGCUCACCUUGCAGUACACACACCCAGAGGCCUCCUCGGCCAGCCCCUCAUCCUCCUGUCCUUACUGCCCUUGUCCCCAGCGUAGCUGCUGACCCAGGAAAGACCACUCACUCCCUCCCCUCCUCAGUCAGUCAGUUCAGUCGCUCAAUCGUGUCCAACUCUUUGCGACCUCAUGAAUCGCAGCACGCCAGGCCUCCCUGUCCAUCACCAACUCCCGGAGUUCACUCAAACUCAUGUCCAUGGAGUCGGUGAUGCCAUCCAGCCAUCUCAUCCUCUGUCAUCCCCUCCUCCUACCCCCAAUCCCUCCCAGCAUCAGGGUCUUUUCCAAUGAGUCAACUCUUCACAUGAGGUGGUCAAAGUAUUGAGUUACAGCUUCAGCAUCAGUCCUUCCAAUGAACACCCAGGACUGAUCUCCUCCUCCUAGAAGCCCCAAAUUCACCCCAUCCCUUCCCUCACCUUCCAGGGCAUUCCACUAGCUUCCCAAUUCCAUCAGCUUCCCAAUUCCAUCCCAAGGUCUAAGGCUCUUUCUUUGAUGGUGGGGAAACCGAGCCCCACAGAAUGCAAGGCCGUGCCUGGGCUUGGGCUGGGCCUGGGGAGCCAUGGGCCUCGCUGAGGUCCCUGCUACCCUGGCUACCCAUGGGAGUUGGGUCCCCACCAGGUAAGUCUGGUGCCUGGUAGAUGCAUGAAGGAGUUCCCGAGUGGACUGAUGGGGGUCUGAGCGGGAGGAGAAUGGGGCUGUGCUCUCAAGUGGGGGUUUCUAAGCCCUGGGAACUGCUCCAGAGGAGGGCUGGGGCCCAGCACUCGUGUUAGAAGCCAGGAAUUAAGAAAAGCCACCUGGAGGACCCAAGAGAUGGGAUUCAGGGGGUAUCCAGGCCUGAGGGUCAAGGACAGGACCCACUGCCCACGACUGCGGACUCCCCUGGACCGGGCCGCCUCCUCCCGCUCAGCGUGGGUGGGAGCCUGUCUGCAGAUGGGCCCCGGAUGAGACAGAGGGCCUCUGUGUGCCCAGGAGAGACGAGAAGGGUCAGGGGCUGCGAGUGAGAAGGAGCACCUGGGGAGUGAGGACAGAUGGAGCAGGGGCAGCCCCACCUGCUGACCCUGCGGGUCAGGAUCAGAACCAGGACCGAGCUUCACCGGCCAGCCCGCCACCUGCCCCUGGGCCCUGGGCAGGUUUGCUCACCUUGCAGUACACACACCCAGAGGCCUCCUCGGCCAGCCCCUCAUCCUCCUGUCCUUACUGCCCUUGUCCCCAGCGUAGCUGCUGACCCAGGAAAGACCACUCACUCCCUCCCCUCCUCAGUCAGUCAGUUCAGUCGCUCAAUCGUGUCCAACUCUUUGCGACCUCAUGAAUCGCAGCACGCCAGGCCUCCCUGUCCAUCACCAACUCCCGGAGUUCACUCAAACUCAUGUCCAUGGAGUCGGUGAUGCCAUCCAGCCAUCUCAUCCUCUGUCAUCCCCUCCUCCUACCCCCAAUCCCUCCCAGCAUCAGGGUCUUUUCCAAUGAGUCAACUCUUCACAUGAGGUGGUCAAAGUAUUGAGUUACAGCUUCAGCAUCAGUCCUUCCAAUGAACACCCAGGACUGAUCUCCUCCUCCUAGAAGCCCCAAAUUCACCCCAUCCCUUCCCUCACCUUCCAGGGCAUUCCACUAGCUUCCCAAUUCCAUCAGCUUCCCAAUUCCAUCCCAAGGUCUAAGGCUCUUUCUUUGAUGGGUGGAAACCGAGCCCCACAGAAGGUAAGGCCCCUCAGUGGAGCUCCCAGUACCCCUCAAGGCCCCGGGAAGGGGGUCCUCUGGGACCCCGACGCCUCACAGCAGGGGCUGGCCCCUAUCUCCUUGUCCAGCCUCUCUGCUAGGCUCAAUCUGCUCUACCUCCCGCACAGCCCACGGCAAGGGCAGGCGGGAUGCAGAGGCUGCGUUCCCACCCCUCCUUCCCCUUGAUGGAAACUGCAGCUGGGGUGAGGUCUCCUGGCUGUUUCUGCCUGCCCAUCCCAGCCUCCUGCCCUAAAGGCCCCUAAAGGCCCCAACUGUGCCCCAGCCCCCACCACCACCAGGGAGCAGGUGGAGGAGGAAGUGGCCUUGGCAGCUGCUGCCCUGGGCUAGGUACUGGUAUAACUGGUUUAGGCCCAGCCUGCAGCUCAGGGCUGGGAGGCCUGGCUACCACAGAGCACCAAGACCUGCGCCCUGAGUCACUCAGCAGGUGAGGGCAGCUCCGUGACUCUGAACACCCAGGACUGAUCUCCUCCUCCUAGAAGCCCCAAAUUCACCCCAUCCCU